rnacentral:rRNA from 1 species
CCUACGGGAGGCAGCAGUAGGGAAUAUUGCUCAAUGGGGGAAACCCUGAAGCAGCAACGCCGCGCGGAGGAUGAAGGUUUUCGGAUUGUAAACUCCUUUUGUUAGAGAAGAUAAUGACGGUAUCUAACGAAUAAGCACCGGCUAACUCCGUGCCAGCAGCCGCGGUAAUACGGAGGGUGCAAGCGUUACUCGGAAUCACUGGGCGUAAGGAGCGCGUAGGCGGGUUAGCAAGUCAGAUGUGAAAUCCUAUGGCUUAACCAUAGAACUGCAUUUGAAACUGUUAUUCUAGAGUAUGGGAGAGGUAGGUGGAAUUCUUGGUGUAGGGGUAAAAUCCGUAGAGAUCAAGAGGAAUACUCAUGGCGAAGGCGACCUGCUAGAACAUAACUGACGCUGAUGCGCGAAAGCGUGGGGAGCAAACAGGAUUAGAUACCCUUGUAGUC